rnacentral:rRNA from 1 species
GACGAACGCUGGCGGCGUGCUUAACACAUGCAAGUCGAACGGAAAGGCCCUGCUUUUGUGGGGUGCUCGAGUGGCGAACGGGUGAGUAACACGUGAGUAACCUGCCCUUGACUUUGGGAUAACUUCAGGAAACUGGGGCUAAUACCGGAUAGGAGCUCCUGCUGCAUGGUGGGGGUUGGAAAGUUUCGGCGGUUGGGGAUGGACUCGCGGCUUAUCAGCUUGUUGGUGGGGUAGUGGCUUACCAAGGCUUUGACGGGUAGCCGGCCUGAGAGGGUGACCGGCCACAUUGGGACUGAGAUACGGCCCAGACUCCUACGGGAGGCAGCAGUGGGGAAUAUUGCACAAUGGGCGGAAGCCUGAUGCAGCAACGCCGCGUGCGGGAUGACGGCCUUCGGGUUGUAAACCGCUUUCGCCUGUGACGAAGCGUGAGUGACGGUAAUGGGUAAAGAAGCACCGGCUAACUACGUGCCAGCAGCCGCGGUGAUACGUAGGGUGCGAGCGUUGUCCGGAUUUAUUGGGCGUAAAGGGCUCGUAGGUGGUUGAUCGCGUCGGAAGUGUAAUCUUGGGGCUUAACCCUGAGCGUGCUUUCGAUACGGGUUGACUUGAGGAAGGUAGGGGAGAAUGGAAUUCCUGGUGGAGCGGUGGAAUGCGCAGAUAUCAGGAGGAACACCAGUGGCGAAGGCGGUUCUCUGGGCCUUUCCUGACGCUGAGGAGCGAAAGCGUGGGGAGCGAACAGGCUUAGAUACCCUGGUAGUCCACGCUGUAAACGGUGGGUACUAGGUGUGGGGUCCAUUCCACGGGUUCCGUGCCGUAGCUAACGCUUUAAGUACCCCGCCUGGGGAGUACGGCCGCAAGGCUAAAACUCAAAGGAAUUGACGGGGCCCCGCACAAGCGGCGGAGCAUGCGGAUUAAUUCGAUGCAACGCGUAGAACCUUACCUGGGUUUGACAUGGAUCGGGAGCGCUCAGAGAUGGGUGUGCCUCUUUUGGGGUCGGUUCACAGGUGGUGCAUGGCUGUCGUCAGCUCGUGUCGUGAGAUGUUGGGUUAAGUCCCGCAACGAGCGCAACCCUUGUUCACUGUUGCCAGCACGUUAUGGUGGGGACUCAGUGGAGACCGCCGGGGUCAACUCGGAGGAAGGUGGGGAUGACGUCAAGUCAUCAUGCCCCUUAUGUCCAGGGCUUCACGCAUGCUACAAUGGCUGGUACAGAGAGUGGCGAACCUGUGAGGGUGAGCGAAUCUCGGAAAGCCGGUCUCAGUUCGGAUUGGGGUCUGCAACUCGACCUCAUGAAGUCGGAGUCGCUAGUAAUCGCAGAUCAGCAACGCUGCGGUGAAUACGUUCCCGGGGCU